ACUUGGCAUUGCCCCAUUUCACAGGCCAGUGGCGGGGGCGCCAGGACCGGGGAGGCCCCCGGCUGUGGCCUUCGUGUUUCCUCUGCGCCACCCUCCUCCCCGCAUCCAUUUUUCAGAUUUCCAGAGCCCAGUGCAGGGGGAGGGCCAGCGGAGGACUGAGAGGUUGUCAAGGGCAGGCAAAGCCUAACCUGCUUUGUUUGAUUUUCUACAGGGCCUGGCUGGAGAGCGGGGCGUGACAGGGCAGCCUGGCGAGCCUGGCGGGAAGGGGGAAGAGGAAGAGAAAGCUACCGCCGAGGGCGAGGGGGUGCAGCAGCUGCGGGAGGCGCUGAAGAUCCUGGCCGAGAGAGUCCUCAUCCUGGAGCACAUGAUCGGGAUCCACGAUCCCCUGGCCUCCCCUGAUGGGGGCUCCGGCCAGGACGCCGCUCUGAGAGCCAACCUCAAGAUGAAGCGUGGUGGCCCCCCACCCGACGGCUCCCUGGCUGCCCUGCUGGGCCCCGACCCUGGGCAGAGGAGCGCUGGCCGGGCCAGCGGCGGGAAGUAAGAGGCCAGCGCUCCAGGACAAGCCCCGACUCCGCCAGAGACCCAGCCCCGGGGCCUGUGCAGCCACUGGCACCUGAGGACACCCCAAGUGGGACCGGGCUCCAGGCCUGGACGAUCGUCAGGAACACUGGCUCCUGGGGGCUGGGGGCCUUGGGGACAGAUGGCAGCUCCAGGGGCAGGGGCCCGAGGCCAGAGCCCUGCCCUGGUCCCUUCCCUCCUCACCUGCACUCCCUGCUGGAGACGGGGUCUGGUGGGCCGGGUGGGCUGUGAGAAUAGUCAUCAUACUCAUCAUUUACUGGGUCCCUGCGUCGUUCGGGCCUGUCCGAGGAGCUUCCCUACAUUGUCUCAUUUAACCCUUAGGAGGUAGGCUUGUUAUCCCGACUUUACACGGGGGACAGAGGCUUGGAGAGGAUGACUCACCUGCCCAAGGCCCCCAGACCAGGGAUGGCUGGGGCAGGGUUUGAACCCACGUUCUCUCUACCCUGCCAGCUUCCCCUCUUCACGGGGAAACUCAGGGCGGGUGUCGGGCCGGGCGGCUCCUGAGGUUCCAGCUGGGAAGGAGGGCAGGGCCCUGCCCAGCACGAGACAGCGGGGGCCCUGGGCCUCCUUCCUCGACUCCCCUGCCUGGGCUCGGGGUCUGCUCCACGGGUUGGGGAGCAGCUUGGCCUGUAGCUACUCUCGGAGGCCAGGGAGACCUUGAAUAAACCCCAAACAGUCACGUGGACUUGGAGACCGUGAGAGAGGAGCGUUGGGGUGCAAGGACCCUCAAACUGAAUUGGCAUUGCCCACCGCCGCAUCCCAAUCUCUCUGACCCCGUUGAGCUGGGAGGAGGGAGGAUUUAAUGCAAGUGUGCACCUCCAGGGGCCAUCCCUGCAGCCCCGCCCUCUCCCAGGCUCUCUGGGAAGCCACAGGGUUGGCCCCUUCUGCGUUACACGGCAAGUCCUAUGUCCCAAGGAGGAAGAGGGAUUGCUGCCUGAUUCCCAGGCCCUGCUGGAGAGAGAUGCUCCCACCCUCGGCGCUGUGGUCCCAGCCAGGCUCCGCAGCAGACACCCAGGUCCCCGGUGCCCCAGAGCAGCUCUCAAGGCCACAGCGCUCGAGGCCUCUCCGGCACCGGGUCCCCUGUGCCCUGGGCUGGCCCUCAUGCUCCUCUCGCUGUCUCAGCGACGGCCGCAAACUCAGACAUUCACAGGUGCUGGCGCCGCCCCAGGUGCAUCUCCCCUCGUGGCAGGAGCGACU